UGGAAACAUUAAACACACUGAGUCUAAGGA
rnacentral:piRNA from 2 species